rnacentral:rRNA from 1 species
UAGGGAAUCUUCCGCAAUGGGCGAAAGCCUGACGGAGCAACGCCGCGUGAGUGAUGAAGGUCUUCGGAUCGUAAAACUCUGUUAUUAGGGAAGAACAAAUGUGUAAGUAACUAUGCACGUCUUGACGGUACCUAAUCAGAAAGCCACGGCUAACUACGUGCCAGCAGCCGCGGUAAUACGUAGGUGGCAAGCGUUAUCCGGAAUUAUUGGGCGUAAAGCGCGCGUAGGCGGUUUUUUAAGUCUGAUGUGAAAGCCCACGGCUCAACCGUGGAGGGUCAUUGGAAGCUGGAAAACUUGAGUGCAGAAGAGGAAAGUGGAAUUCCAUGUGUAGCGGUGAAAUGCGCAGAGAUAUGGGGGAACACCAGUGGCGAAGGCGACUUUCUGGUCUGUAACUGACGCUGAUGUGCGAAAGCGUGGGGAUCAAACAGG